ACUCAUCGAAGUGCAAUAAAUGCAAGCAUUGCACACCUCCCGUGUAAAAAUGUUCAAUUGCUCAGGGCCUCUGCCACAGAUGGACCUCAGGGCCAUGUCCAUGCUGCUUUCUGUUGUUCUGUAACGUGUCUAAGCAUUUCUCUGUGAAUUUCUCCCAAGCAGCAUCAUCAUCUUCAUCUGUGUAAAUAAUAACGGUCGGUGCUGAACAGGAUCCUACCAAAUAAUAACAUGUACAUAGCCAUUUACCGGAACUGAACUACAAAUCCCAUGUGCUAUCCGGUAAACUUGCAAUCCUUUGCUAAUCUUAUACCCAAUUUUUUGGUUCCACGGACCAGAGCGGAGGAGUAAAGAGAACACUGAGUCAUAUGUGCAUUGUGCAUGCAGCUAUCGGUAAAGCCCAGUACUAAACAUACAGUACGGGUGGACCGGGAAUAUAAUAAUAAUAAACAUGGAUUUGAAUGCCAUUAUAGAAAACAUGGAAAAGGGGGAUCAAGAUGUGGCAUUGAUGGCACUGCAGACCUACAACAAAACGGUUAAUGGUCGCCGUCGUUACGAAAUAUGAAAUCUGUGACUUGUGUUCUUGUAGUCUAAGUUACGUUUCCGUGCAAUUUGACAGUGUUAAGUGCUAAUAUAGAACUUGAGACGAUGUCAUGGUUCUCAUGACACUGGUGGCCUAUUAUGGUGAAUGUAGCAGGAACAUGCGAUCACGCUGUUCAACAAUAUCAUAGAAAUCCCGUGUGAUUUUCUGAGAGAUGACUCAGUGCUUCUUAUUUAACACAGAUGAAGAGGAUGAGAGAGAGGUACAGUACAGAUGAAGAGGAUGAGAGAGAGGUCCAAAAUUAUCCAGCCGAUGAUGCUGGGGAGUGAUGUUUCAAUGACACAGAUGAAUUCUGGUGACCUGCGACUAAAUGAGAGACCAGACACAACAGGGACAACAACUAAACCUAGAACCAUAACUACGCUUAGAACCACAACUACAAUUAGAGCCACCACAACAACAAGAACAACCAAAAAAAGCAACGACAACAACAUGGCUCAGGUAUCGAGAAGAAGGUUGAGGUAGAAUUAAUCAACUAAAUAUCACCUGUAGCCUCUGUCACAGGCUCAAGACUGGGUGUCUGAAGUUUAUCAGUGCAGGCAGAGUCGUCACGACAAUGAGUGCGGUUAAAUGCACACAAUAAUGCAAUCGUUAUGGAUGGUCAGAUGAACAUAAUAGUUUGAUUAAAACGUUGACAUGCUUUGCAAAAGAACGAUUUCCCUAAUAAUCCUGUUUGCAUGAACACAUCUGAAAUCAGGCUACCUGAUGGCACUCUGAUAAAUGCUGAACAUCGCCAAUCUAAAUGAACCCAGCGAACAUGUUAUUUUGGGGAAGCAUAUUUGUAUGUGAAAACUACUUCUGAGACGCAUACAUUCAGUCGUUCCGAACACGCUUCACUCGCUGAAGAGGGAGGUUUUCUCGGUCGGUGCUAGCACAUGCGCAGCUCAAAUACACCGCUGGAACGCCGAUGAAGGUGUUUACAUGUCCUAAUAAUUAUAAAGAUCGCGCAGAAAACCCAUUUUACGACGAUUAAGAUAAGCAGAGUAAGGUGUUUAUAUGACUAUCGCAUAAUCUACCUACUGUCAUUAUCAGUUUAAUAUCGAAUUAUUAGUAUGCAUGUAAACGUUCUCAAUGACCGUACAGCUUUUGAGUAGCAUGUGAAACGUAAACUAGAUUCUUAAAUCCAAAACCGUGUUCUGGGUUGUGUUUAACUUUAGGUGGCAUUUUAGCUGCUUUGAUCAGUGUGUUUGGAUUGGCACUAUGGGUAUGUGAUCUGCCUUUUACAGUUAAAAUACUUGCAAUAUUGGGCUCAUCAAAUCAAAUGUAUUUAUAGAGCCCUUUUUACAUCAGCAGAUGUCACAACGUGCUUAAACAGAAACCCAGCCUAAAACCCAGUCCUCUUCUGGCUGUGCCGGUGGAGAUUAUAAGAGUA